GAUGAACGCUGGCGGCGUGCCUAAUACAUGCAAGUCGAGCGAACGGACGAGAAGCUUGCUUCUCUGAUGUUAGCGGCGGACGGGUGAGUAACACGUGGAUAACCUACCUAUAAGACUGGGAUAACUUCGGGAAACCGGAGCUAAUACCGGAGGAUAUUUUGAACCGCAUGGUUCAAAAGUGAAAGACGGUCUUGCUGUCACUUAUAGAUGGAUCCGCGCUGCAUUAGCUAGUUGGUAAGGUAACGGCUUACCAAGGCAACGAUGCAUAGCCGACCUGAGAGGGUGAUCGGCCACACUGGAACUGAGACACGGUCCAGACUCCUACGGGAGGCAGCAGUCGGGAAUCUUCCGCAAUGGGCGAAAGCCUGACGGAGCAACGCCGCGUGAGUGAUGAAGGUCUUCGGAUCGUAAAACUCUGUUAUUAGGGAAGAACAUAUGUGUAAGUAACUGUGCACAUCUUGACGGUACCUAAUCAGAAAGCCACGGCUAACUACGUG
rnacentral:rRNA from 1 species